rnacentral:rRNA from 1 species
UACGUAGGGGGCAAGCGUUGUUCGGAAUUACUGGGCGUAAAGGGCGCGUAGGCGGCAUGGCAAGUCGGGAGUGAAAGGCCUGGGCUCAACCGAGGAACUGCUUUCGAGACUGCCAAGCUAGAGUGCGGAAGGGGCAUCUGGAAUUCCCAGGUGUAGCGGUGAAAUGCGUAGAUAUUGGGAAGAACACCUGAGGCGAAGGCGGGAUGCUGGGCCGACACUGACGCUGAGGCGCGAAAGCCAGGGAGCAAAGCGGGG